GGCAAUGUGGUGUAGUGGUUCAAGCACUGGACUAUGACUCUGGAGCCCGUGGUUCAAAUCCCCACUCGGGCA